GAUGAAGAACGUAGCGAAAUGCGAUACUUGGUGUGAAUUGCAGAAUCCCGUGAACCAUCGAGUCUUUGAACGCAAGUUGCGCCCGAAGCCACUAGGCCGAGGGCACGCCUGCCUGGGCGUCACACGUCGUUGCCCCCCCAUCUACUCCUUCGGGAUUGCGGGGGGGCGGAUGAUGGCCUCCCGUGCGCCUAGUCGCGCGGUUGGCAUAAAUACCAAGUCCUCGGCGACGCACGCCACGACAAUCGGUGGUUGCGAAACCUCGGUUGCCCGUCGUGUGCGUUCGUCGCGCAUCGAGGGCUCGAAAAAAUGCUCGGCUCCGGCUGGGCUUUCAACGCGACCCCAGGUCAGGCGGGGUUACCCGCUGAAUUUAAGCAUAUCAAUAAGCGGAGGA
rnacentral:misc_RNA from 1 species